rnacentral:lncRNA from 1 species
AGGGCUGAUUGUUUUGGAUCCGUUAGUGUUGAGUCAAAGUCGUGCAAAGUUGUUAUUGACAGUAACAAAAACAAAGAAGCUCAGAUGAUCGUACCUAUUUUAAUUUCCAAAAUGCAUAGAUGAUAUCAAACUAAGCAACAAAAUGCAAAUUGAUUUGCAAUCUGCUGGAGAUGUUAGAGGUUGCGCAAUUCUACCAAAUGGCAAGAUGAUGUUCUGUGAUUAUACUAAUCGAAUUUUAAUUUCGUUGAAAAGCAAC